rnacentral:lncRNA from 1 species
AUGAGUUUUGUAAGAAGCUGUCUCACAUACAACCUUCAGUAUUUUCCUUCAGUGCUUUACAGCUUUGCGUGUCCUCAACAGAGCAAAGGUUUUCCUGGCACCAUCAAACUUCAACAUCUUUUGAGCUUCUCUCUGCAUUUUUGACAAAAAAUAUCUUCUUUCAAUAAAUUCAUCUAAAAAUGUUCA